GACGAACGCUAGCGGCGUGCUUAACACAUGCAAGUCGAACGGAAAGGCCCUGCUUUUGUGGGGUGCUCGAGUGGCGAACGGGUGAGUAACACGUGAGUAACCUGCCCUUGACUUUGGGAUAACUUCAGGAAACUGGGGCUAAUACCGGAUAGGAGCUCCUGCUGCAUGGUGGGGGUUGGAAAGUUUCGGCGGUUGGGGAUGGACUCGCGGCUUAUCAGCUUGUUGGUGGGGUGGUGGCUUACCAAGGCUUUGACGGGUAGCCGGCCUGAGAGGGUGACCGGCCACAUUGGGACUGAGAUACGGCCCAGACUCCUACGGGAGGCAGCAGUGGGGAAUAUUGCACAAUGGGCGGAAGCCUGAUGCAGCAACGCCGCGUGCGGGAUGACGGCCUUCGGGUUGUAAACCGCUUUCGCCUGUGACGAAGCGUGAGUGACGGUAAUGGGUAAAGAAGCACCGGCUAACUACGUG
rnacentral:rRNA from 1 species